rnacentral:rRNA from 1 species
AACGAACGCUGGCGGCAGGCUUAACACAUGCAAGUCGAACGCCCCGCAAGGGAGUGGCAGACGGGUGAGUAACACGUGGGAACAUGCCCAAAGGUACGGAACAACUCCGGGAAACUAGAGCUAAUACCGUAUGUGUCCGUAAGGAGAAAGAUUUAUCGCCUUUGGAUUGGCCCGCGUCGGAUUAGCUAGUUGGUGGGGUAAAAGCC